rnacentral:lncRNA from 1 species
UUUGUUAUGCUUCUUGCUUAUACAUUACCGUUCCAGGUAUUUGAUAUAAUGAAUUAAUGGGGAAAAACGUUCACUCGUAGUUAAAAAGAAUGACACGAA